rnacentral:rRNA from 1 species
ACGCUCGACACCUACGGGAGCAGCAGUUGGGAAUAUUGGACAAUGGAGGAAACUCUGAUCCAGUGACGCCGCGUGAAGGAAGAAGGUCUUCGGAUUGUAAACUUAUUUUGUCAGGGAAGAAAAAAUGACUGUACCUGAAGAAAAAGCACCGGCUAACUACGUACAGCAGCCGCGGUAAUCUGAGCGGGCUGGCAAGGC